rnacentral:rRNA from 1 species
UACAGAGAGGGCAAGCGUUAAUCGGAAUCACUGGGCGUAAAGCGCGCGUAGGUGGAUAUUUAAGUCAGAUGUGAAAGCCCUGGGCUUAACCUAGGAACUGCAUCUGAUACUGGAUAACUAGAGUAUGGUAGAGGGAAGUGGAAUUUCCGGUGUAGCGGUGAAAUGCGUAGAUACCGGAAGGAACACCAGUGGCGAAGGCGACUUCCUGGACCAAUACUGACACUUAGGUGGGAAAGCGUGGGGAGCAAACAGG